UACGUAGGGUGCGAGCGUUGUCCGGAAUUACUGGGCGUAAAGAGCUCGUAGGUGGUUUGUCGCGUUGUUCGUGAAAACCGGGGGCUUAACCCUCGGCGUGCGGGCGAUACGGGCAGACUUGAGUACUGCAGGGGAGACUGGAAUUCCUGGUGUAGCGGUGAAAUGCGCAGAUAUCAGGAGGAACACCGGUGGCGAAGGCGGGUCUCUGGGCAGUAACUGACGCUGAGGAGCGAAAGCGUGGGGGAGCGAACAGG
rnacentral:rRNA from 1 species